AAAUAGAAAGAUGAUAGAGAGGGGGGUAACAGCAAACCCUGGAGGAAGCAGAUAGAUGAAUAAGAUAUUCUAAAGAGAGAGUGCGGGAAAGCAAAUUAAGAGAGAGUUCCCAAUGUUAGCAGAGAAACAGAUCAAGCUUUGUGCUUAUCAUACCCAUUCCUCCCAAGAAAGCUACUCUUCUAGAGGAGGAGGAUCUCGGAGGAGAAUCCAACCACCUGUGUAAGUGUACUGAGUAAGGAGCUGUUCUGAAAACCAAGGUACUGGAUUGAAUGGCCUGACCAAAAAGCUUUUCCUACGCUUAGAAUUAUGCAUCUGUAAGUGACGGAAUUUUCACAACCAACAAGGAAUACUCUGCUGAUAUGUAACGUUUGCAAGAUGUUUCAUAUCCCUGCAUGGAUGUUGCAGAAGAGGGCAAAGAUGCACGGUACAUUAUAAGCAGGCAGGCAGAAGACUGCACACGUAUUUGCACAAGGAGCUUUUCAAUUCUAGCAAAGUCUGCUGAUUUUAUGACUGGUAGUGCAACAAUUCUGCCAUAGCAUUUGAUGUUCAGAAAUUUUGACCAGUAUUAAAAGAUUAUCUGUGCAUGUUUCUGGAAGGAGUUUUGAAUAAAAGAAGAGGAUUUGGUGAAUUAAGAAUUGCCUUACACUGCAUAAAUCUUAUUUAAGAAGUUAGAGAAGAGUGGAAACCAUGCCAAAGAGGAUACCAGCUGCCAGAAUGAAAUCAUUCCACAGAACCUGACACAUUGUAUGGUGUUAUUCAAAAUAAGUGUGCAGCAAAUUAGACUGAAAAUGACACCAAGUGGCCGGCGAGAGGCAUUGAAUCCCAUUAUUCAAGUGGAAUCUAAUGAAGACCGCGAGGAACGUGUUCUGGCUAUGUUGGGGAUCAUUGGGACAAUCUUGAAUCUGCUGGUCAUCAUCUUUGUCUACAUAUACACCACUAUAUAAAGAGAUGGAGUGUAGAGCCAACUGCUGUUUAACUGUAGACCAGUGUGACAGUGAAUGGUGACCCAUGUAGCAAGGCUACAGCCAAAAUGCAGAACAUACAUAUAAUUUAUCGAAACCUAGAACUACCCACACACCAUCAUCAGGUGACAAUGGAUAAUUCUGAUAAACAACUCCAUUGUGAGCUAAAACAUUAUACUACAAACAAUAUGAAGGUGUGCCAAAAGCCUGUGAAGUCAAAUGUAUGUUUAAAUACUUUACUGCUGCAGGUAAUUUCUUCAAAAUUAACAGAUUUAAGCACAACUGGGAUCAGAAAUGCUGCAUCCUGCAAACCAUCUCAAUAUUCAGCAGGCAUCUCCAAUGGAUGUGAACAAAUUCUUAAAAUGACUCGGAAAUGCUCAGCUCUGAGAUGUUUGGAGCACUAGAAAUGAUCUUUAUGGAUCUAAUUUAGCCGCUAGUGCAGGUUUGAGUUCUACCAGGCCUUUGCUUGCUUUGCUUCUGUAUCAACAUAUUGUGCAUAAUUUUUUGAAAGUUAAAACAUUUUUGAGACACAGCGGUGUCCCUUAUCAUGCACAGAACAAACUGAAUGUCCUACUGCAGAUGAUGUGUUGUUGGGACAACAGCAAAAAAUAAAUAUGACAGCAAACGUUU